rnacentral:lncRNA from 1 species
AGACAAUUUGGAGAACAUCUGUUCUACCAGCACACCUGGGGAUGUGCGACUUCCGUGCUGGGGAUGUCGUCACAGCGCAAACUGGUGCACAUUUGUCGCUAGAUUGUUCUUUGUGUGUAGUCCUCACUGAUUCCUGCGGCUGACAACAAAGAAAGCAUCACGUGUCUACAGAACAGCCGCUUCCUGAAGAUGAUACUAAAAUUCAAAUUUCUCAUUGACGUUGUGGGUUUCCUACCCCCAGAAUUCCUCUCUCUUCUUUCUACAGGAAUUUGCACCAGGGACACGAGCUAGAACUGUUUCUGCACCAGACUGAAGUUACCACUGUCCAAGUCUACACUGUAUGCUGGCAAAUAGUCCCACUUCUUGCUGCACGGGCCCCUGCAGCUCUGCCAUGUUAAGCCCUGGCCCUUUCUCCGCGACAGCAUCUCUUACUCUUCACCCGUGUGGUCAUGGAAGUCGUCCUCCCACCGUCUCCAGACCUGUCCAGAUGAGAAAAUGGAGACUUGGAGGAGUAAUUUGCCCAAGAUCAUGCUGUGGGGCAGGGAUCUGAAUCCAGACAGUCUGACUCCAAAACCCAACUUCGUAACCACCAAAAUGUCUCUCAUUUGUUGGGACAAACCUGGUUAUGGAACCAGGUUCUUUUGCCUGAUGUGCAGCAAACCAAAUGCUGAGAUGCUGAGGUUUACAGAAGAGAAAAGGUUUAUUCACAAGGCACCCAAGCGAGGCGAUGGGAGGACAAGUUUCAGAUCUGCUUCCUUGAAGCCCUCGAAGCCGUGUGUGGAUCAAACACGUUGCGAAGUGACAAGAGCCAGGAGUGCUGAGUUUCGAGGAGGACGUGAGUCCCUGCCAACCGACUUUGGAAUUGCUGUGAGUGAGACACAAGCUUUCACUGUGUGAAACCCUGUGACUUGGGGGUUCAUCUUUUACCACAGCAUUGUCUAGCCUGACCAGAUUCAUUUGCAUAAGAAAAUCUCCACUGCCUUCAGAAUAUAAAGUAUAUUUCUGUAAACGUUGCAGAAAGCUAGUAUCUUGAUAAGAUAUAGAAAUUCUUCCACUCUUUCCUCUUACUGCAGUUCUUUCACUCCUUCUCUACCUUAAUGGGUUGGAGUUUGUCAUCAAGUCAGUCAGUCAACCAGGAUGCAGAUGUGAGUUUCCUUGUGGAAACAGGUGCCAGCAAAUAUUGCGUACCCCACCCGGAAGUACUGUGCCAAGUUAAAUCUAACCGAGGUCUUUUAGGUCGUUUCUGCCCACAUGAACCCAGGGUCGCUGAGUAUUAUUCCUUCAGCCCCAUCCACGCGAAAAGCUUCUUGGGUGAAGACAUGGAAUGCAGUUCAGCCCCAGGAUAUAUUCCUGCAAGGAGGAGUGCCAUGUACGACAGAUCAGAGACGGUAGGUGACAUGAUUUUGCACUCACGCCUAUUCCCUGCCUGCUCCUGUCCCAUCCUGUUCUAAACACCAGCAUCGCCUUGAAAUUCCCUUAAGCAAACUGAGACGCCAUAAGAAUCUCUACUGGUAUUGAUCCCAAUGCUGCAUAGUUUCUCUCCUGAACACUUUUUACCCAUAUUUAUACACAGGUAUGCAUAUCGGUAUGCAUGUAUAUACAUAAAUGCUUCUUAUAAUGAGUUUCUUCAUCAUGAAAGAUGAAUUAAUCACUUCAUUGACCUUACUAUAUAAUUUGCUGCAACGUACAGGAUUUACCAGACAACACCUACCACCUUAUAACAUCAGGACUUGCCCUUUGAGUCUAUAUUAAAUGAAUGCUUUCUUUGCCUUUAAGCAGUCAUAAUAAAUCAUACUGCACAAUUAAAUAGCUAUCACUCUUUAAUUAAGGAGUCAUCUUCUCCACUUCACCUGAUCUUGCCCAGUUUCCAGCAUGACCUGGUGCUUAAAGCUCAAGGAGAAAGUAAUUCAUAUUAUAAAUGUAUAACAGGGAAGUUCCCUUGUGUCGCAGCAGGUUAAGGAUCCACUGUUGCCACAAUAGUGGCGCAGGUGGUUACUGCAGUGCAGUUUUGAUCCCUGGCCCACGAACUUUCAUGUGCCAUGGGUGCAGCCAAAAAUAAAUAAAUAAACGAAAACGUAUAACAGACCAUUCAUGAGCUAAUCCUUGAAGAUAUUUUUCUCCAAUCAAAAGUUAUUUAGGAAUUUCCCUGGAGUUCCCAUCGUGGCAUGGUGGAAAUGAAUCUGACUAGUAUCACUGAAGGUGUAGGUUCGAUCCCUGGCCUCACUCAGUGGGUUAAGGAUCCGGUGUUUCUGUAAGCUGUGGCAUAGGUUGCAGACAUGGCUCGGAUCUGGCAUUGCUAUGGCUGUGGGGGUAGGCUGGCAGCUACAGUUCCAAUUCAACCCCCAGCCUGGGAACCUCCAUAUGCCUUAGGUGCAGCCCUAAAAAAUAAAAAUAAAAAUAAAAAUUAAAAAAAAAACUAAGGAAUUUCCCAUUGUGGCUCAGCAGUAGCAAACCCGACAAGCAUCCAUGAGGACUCAGGUUUGAUCCCUGGCCUUGCUCAGUGGAUUAAGGAUCUGGCAUUGCUCUGGCUGUGGCAUAAGCCAACAGCUGUAGCCAGGGAACUUCAAUAUGCCACAGGUGUGGCC